AACGAACGCUGGCGGCAUGCCUAACACAUGCAAGUCGAACGAGAUCCUUCGGGGUCUAGUGGCGCACGGGUGCGUAACGCGUGGGAAUCUGCCCUUAGGUUCGGAAUAACAGUUAGAAAUGACUGCUAAUACCGGAUGAUGACGUUAAGUCCAAAGAUUUAUCGCCUGAGGAUGAGCCCGCGUAGGAUUAGCUAGUUGGUGUGGUAAAGGCGCACCAAGGCGACGAUCCUUAGCUGGUCUGAGAGGAUGAUCAGCCACACUGGGACUGAGACACGGCCCAGCCUCAGAGGGGAGGAAGCAGGGGGGAUAAUUGAAAAAGGGCCAAAAGCUUGACCAACCAUGGCCGGGUGAUGGUUAAGGGCCUGGGGGUUGAAAACCUUUUUUACCCGGGAUGAUAAGGACGGACCGGGAAAAAAAAGCCCCGGCAAACCCCGUC
rnacentral:rRNA from 1 species